rnacentral:rRNA from 1 species
GAUGAACGCUGGCGGCGUGCCUAAUACAUGCAAGUCGAGCGAACAGACGAGGAGCUUGCUCCUCUGACGUUAGCGGCGGACGGGUGAGUAACACGUGGAUAACCUACCUAUAAGACUGGGAUAACUUCGGGAAACCGGAGCUAAUACCGGAUAAUAUAUUGAACCGCAUGGUUCAAUAGUGAAAGACGGUUUUGCUGUCACUUAUAGAUGGAUCCGCGCCGCAUUAGCUAGUUGGUAAGGUAACGGCUUACCAAGGCGACGUUGCGUAGCCGACCUGAGAGGGGGAUCGGCCACACUGGAACUGAGACACGGUCCAGACUCCUACGGGAGGCAGCAGUAGGGAAUCUUCCGCAAUGGGCGAAAGCCUGACGGAGCAACGCCGCGUGAGUGAUGAAGGUCUUCGGAUCGUAAAACUCUGUUAUUAGGGAAGAACAAAUGUGUAAGUAACUAUGCACGUCUUGACGGUACCUAAUCAGAAAGCCACGGCUAACUACGUG